rnacentral:tRNA from 2 species
GCCCCCAUAGUUUAAUGGAUAAAACGAGGGACUUCUAAUCCCUAGAUCGAGGUUCGAUUCCUCGUGGGGGCACAA